AACCCUUAUCCCUAGUUGCCAUCAGGUAAAGGCUGGGAACGUCUGGGGAGGACUGCCGGUGAUAAACCGGAGGAAGGCGGGGAUGACGUCAAGUCCUCAUGGCCCUUACAUCCCGGGCUACACACGUGCUACAAUGGCAGGUACAGAGGGCUGCGAAGCCGCGAGGUGGAGCGAAUCCCAGAAAACCUGUCUCAGUCCGGAUUGAAGUCUGCAACUCGACUUCAUGAAGGCGGAAUCGCUAGUAAUCGCGUAUCAGCGUGACGCGGUGAAUACGUUCCCGGGCCUU
rnacentral:rRNA from 1 species